UUGACAGGCCUAGCUCCCCGGUCUUCUUCUCCUGAAAAUUCUUCUCCCUUCUCGACGAUCAGUCCAACAGAGUCACUUUCACUUUCACUCUUACUCUCAACUCUUUCACAUUUGAUUAGAUUGAACAUAACUGCAUAUAAUUCUUCCUAUCGGGUUCUUUUCCAUUCUCCAAUCUCACUUUUCCUUCUGUACCUGUAUUAGCUUAAGAUAUUGCUGCAUUAGUAAAGCUUCUACUAAUAUUGAACUGUAGAGAGAACUAGAGACUGCUUCUGAUUCUCUAAAGGUGGUUGCGGAUUUAGAGGAAAAAACAGUGGUAGUGACAGUAGAUUUGAUGGAGGAGGUACCACUAAGUUCAUAAAUGAAGAAACUGAAAAGAACCCAUUGCUAGAAAAGAAAGAGUUUCAUCUAUAGUUGAUUCAAUAAGAUAAAUGGAAGGUGGAGUUCGCCGGAGUCCUAAAAUCACUGAGCUAGCUCGACUACGUGCGGAACGUGCUAAUUAACAGAAACGACAUAGAGAGGUUCAAUUGCUCAACUAUCGUACCUUUGUAAGAGCAAAACGGGAUUCAAUGAGCAAAGAGGAAAAAGAAGCGCUACUUGAGAAACGGAGGAAUGCUUAUCGUUGGGGGCACUUUAGCGUGGGCAGGGAAAUAAAGAUGGAUAUAAAGCAGAAACAAGUAGUGGUGAGGGGACAAUUGACCUUGACAUGAAUUUUCACCACAUGGCGUUCAUCGUUGACUUUGAUAAUUGAACGAGUGUCGGCUUUGAACGUUGAUUGAUACACGAAAAAUACAAAAUUACGGAAAAAAAUACAAAAUUACGGAAUGAACGGCAGGCGCAUCGCGCGUGAAGGAAAAGUUAAAUGACCAAAAUCUAAGCUUAAGUGAAGAUCCACAGCAAACAAAAAGGAGUACAAAAACGUGGGGGAUACAGUUUAAGGAAAAGUUUAGCUUGGAAUAAAGCUUAUUUUACUGACGAAGGUGUUGGUGUUACUUUUAAGUGACUUAUGAGUAUUGAUUCGAAGGCAUUAUCUUGUUCGUCUGAAUGUUUGAUGUCAAGGCUUCAAGAAAGGUGCAGCUGACCAAGGCUCUGUCUGGAAGUGUCUCCUGGUGGUCCAAGACCCUCCACCCC